rnacentral:misc_RNA from 1 species
GCCGGGCUUAGCAACGUGGGCCUGUAACCCAAGUGGGGGCAUGCGGGAAAUUGAAGU